UACCGGGCCAGCUGGAAGGAGA
rnacentral:miRNA from 1 species